AACGAACGCUGGCGGCAUGCCUAACACAUGCAAGUCGAACGAGACCUUCGGGUCUAGUGGCGCACGGGUGCGUAACGCGUGGGAACCUGCCCUUAGGUUCGGAAUAACUCCCCGAAAGGGGUGCUAAUACCGGAUAAUGUCUUCGGACCAAAGAUUUAUCGCCUUUGGAUGGGCCCGCGUUGGAUUAGCUAGUUGGUAGGGUAAAAGCCUACCAAGGCGACGAUCCAUAGCUGGUCUGAGAGGAUGAUCAGCCACACUGGGACUGAGACACGGCCCAGACUCCUACGGGAGGCAGCAGUGGGGAAUAUUGGACAAGGGGCGAAAGGCUGAUCCAGCAAUGCCGCGUGAGUGAUGAAGGCCUAAGGGUUGUAAAGCUCUUGUACCAGGGAUGAUAAGGACAGGACCGGGAGAAUAAGCUCCGGAUAACUCCGUG
rnacentral:rRNA from 1 species